rnacentral:rRNA from 1 species
GCUAAGGAUGGGUCUGCGGCCUAUCAGGUAGUAGUGGGUGUAGCGUACCUACUAGCCUACGACGGGUACGGGUUGUGAGAGCAAGAGCCCGGAGAUGGAUUCUGAGACAUGAAUCCAGGCCCUACGGGGCGCAGCAGGCGCGAAAACUUUACAAUGCGGGAAACCGCGAUAAGGGGACACCGAGUGCCAGCAUCCUAUGUUGGCUGUCCAUAUGUCUAAAUCACAUGUGUUAGCAAGGGCCGGGCAAGACCGGUGCCAGCCGCCGCGGUAACACCGGCGGCCCGAGUGGUGGCCACUAUUAUUGGGUCUAAAGGGUCCGUAGCCGGUUUGGUCAGUCUUCCGGGAAAUCUGACGGCUCAACCGUUAGGCUUUCGGGGGAUACUACCAGGCUUGGGACCGGGAGAGGUAAGAGGUACUACGGGGGUAGGAGUGAAAUCUUGUAAUCCCUGUGGGACCACCAGUGGCGAAGGCGUCUUACCAGAACGGGUCCGACGGUGAGGGACGAAAGCUGGGGGCACGAACCGGAUUAGAUACCCGGGUAGUCCCAGCUGUAAACUAUGCUCGCUAGGUGUCAGGGACGGUGCGACCGUUUCUGGUGCCGCAGGGAAGCCGUGAAGCGAGCCACCUGGGAAGUACGGUCGCAAGGCUGAAACUUAAGGAAUUGGCGGGGAGCAC